AAAUGAAUUGACGGGGGCCCGCACAAGCGGUGGAGCAUGUGGUUUAAUUCGAUGCAACGCGAAGAACCUUACCAGGUCUUGACAUCCAUAGGAUUCAUGUGAAAGCAUGGAGUGCCUUCGGGAGCUAUGAGACAGGUGGUGCAUGGUUGUCGUCAGCUCGUGUCGUGAGAUGUUGGGUUAAGUCCCGCAACGAGCGCAACCCUUGCUAUUAGUUGCUAACAGGUAGAGCUAGAGCACUCUAAUGGGACUGCCCGUGACAAGCGGGAGGAAGGUGGGGAUGACGUCAAAUCAUCAUGCCCUUUAUGAUCUGGGCCACACACGUGCUACAAUGGGUGGUACAGAGGGAAGCGAAGCUGUGAAGCGGAGCGAAUCUCAAAAAGCCACUCUCAGUUCGGAUUGUAGUCUGCAACUCGACUACAUGAAGUCGGAAUCGCUAGUAAUCGCGAAUCAGCAUGUCGCGGUGAAUGCGUUCCCGGGCCUUGUACACACCGCCCGU
rnacentral:rRNA from 1 species